GAUGCCAUUGCCAAGUGGUUAAGACGAUGGACUAGAAAUCCAUUGGGGUCUCCCUGCGCAGGUUCGUAUCCUGCUGACUACG
rnacentral:tRNA from 1 species